rnacentral:rRNA from 1 species
CGUAGGUGGCAAGCGUUGUCCGGAUUUAUUGGGUUUAAAGGGUGCGUAGGCGGCUUUGUAAGUCAGUGGUGAAAUAUGGCAGCUCAACUGUCAGGGUGCCAUUGAUACUGCAGAGCUUGAGUACAGAUGAGGUAGGCGGAAUUGACGGUGUAGCGGUGAAAUGCUUAGAUAUCGUCAAGAACACCGAUAGCGAAGGCAGCUUACUAGGCUGUAACUGACGCUGAGGCACGAAAGUGUGGGGAUCAAACAGGAUUAGAUACCCUGGUAGUCCACACUGUAAACGUUGAUGACUCGCUGUUGGCGAUACACGGCCUGCGGCAGAGAGAAAUCGUUAAGUCAUCCACCUGGGGAGUACGCCGGCAACGGUG